GAGAAUAACCACUUGCUGUCUGAGCUUCUGGGGUCAUUUCUCACAUUUCUGCUCCAGAUAUGUGUGCACUUGGACACCUGGUGGGUGAACAGAGAAUUGGAGGAUUGACUAAUAUGAUGGAACCCCCCGCAUCUGGAGUCAUGAGUAUUGGUCAAGCUUUAAGAUAAAGAAAUGGCUCUCCUCACUGUGAUUACUAUAGGCCUUUAAGAUGAUUAGUAGACUGUUCUCCUGACUUUUCCCUAAAUGGUGGUGAGAAGCCUGAGCCAAGGGGCAGGUUUCUUCCCCAUUCCUGACAUGUUCUUUUUGGGGAGAAGAGCUCCAUGAGGGGACUCUGGGCCUCCCCAGACUCCUGUCCUGGUAAGCAGGAGAGCCUGGGAUGCUCAAAAGGCGUAUCAUUAAAAGGCCCUAAACAUUCAGUAUUCAUCGGGUAUCCGUUCUGUGUCAGGCAUGAUGCUCGCUGCCAAGGACACAACAAUG